CUUUUGUGCAUCAAAAUGAGAACAGUCCUAAACUACACAUGCCUCUUGCCUGUGUAUUUGUAAACUUUCACAGGUGGAGACAGCUCGUCUACAACAACAGGCAGCGCCUCUCCGGUUCCCAACAGUUAUGAGUCUGUAGAGGGCGGCGGUUAUUCGGAUCUUGCAGCUCCUCCAAAUAGUGUUCCUGCCAAACAAGCUCCACCCUUCGGAUACAAUUAUCCAACCAUACAUCCUGCUUACCAACAAAACCCCACCCCCAGACCAGACUCCUCCCCCUCUCACGGAGGGUACAACCCACCAGGAUACCAGCCGUACUCGCAGCCUUUCCCGUCUCUGUCUGAGCUGUCAUCAGCGUUAGGAGGCCUCGGCGGCGUUUCUGAACCGGAGUCUGAAACCUUGAGACCCGUGAAUCUACUCCAGGAGAGAAACAUCCUUCCUCCCAAACACACACCUCCACCUGAGCCCAACCUGAGCAACGACCUGCGCA